rnacentral:tmRNA from 1 species
GGGGGUGACAUGGCUUCGACGGGGGUCGCGAUUUCGACCGGUGCAUGCCGAGGGGGCGGCUUUCCUCGUUAAUCCAGCAGCAAACUUUUAGUUGCCAACGACGACAACUACGCUCUCGCCGCUUAAGGCGUAAGCCCCGAACCCACUUGUGCUCGUGCUCGUCGGUGUAGGGUCAUUAUCACGGGAUCGCCUAGGGUGGCUGCCUGUCAGCCCUAUUCUGGUUAAAUCAAAGCAGGCUGGUCGUGGGGUGCGUCUAGCACGUCGUACUGCUCCACGACGAGAUCCAACGGCGGGCUAAGCAUGUAGUAUCCGGCGAUUGAGUGCCUUCGGACGGGGGUUCAACUCCCCCCACCUCCACCA